AUUGAACGCUGGCGGCAUGCCUUACACAUGCAAGUCGAACGGUAACAGGUCUUCGGAUGCUGACGAGUGGCGAACGGGUGAGUAAUACAUCGGAACGUGCCCGAUCGUGGGGGAUAACGGAGCGAAAGCUUUGCUAAUACCGCAUACGAUCUACGGAUGAAAGCAGGGGACCGCAAGGCCUUGCGCGGACGGAGCGGCCGAUGGCAGAUAGGUUGUUGGUGGGGUAAAAGCUUACCAAGCCGACGAUCUGUAGCUGGUCUGAGAGGACGACCAGCCACACUGGGACUGAGACACGGCCCAGACUCCUACGGGAGGCAGCAGUGGGGAAUUUUGGACAAUGGGCGAAAGCCUGAUCCAGCCAUGCCGCGUGCAGGAUGAAGGCCUUCGGGUUGUAAACUGCUUUUGUACGGAACGAAAAGACUCUUUCUAAUAAAGAGGGUCCAUGACGGUACCGUAAGAAUAAGCACCGGCUAACUACGUG
rnacentral:rRNA from 1 species